rnacentral:rRNA from 1 species
CCUACGGGGGGCAGCAGUGGGGAAUAUUGGACAAUGGGGGGAACCCUGAUCCAGCCAUGCCGCGUGUGUGAAGAAGGCCCUCGGGUUGUAAAGCACUUUCAGUGAGGAAGAACGCCUGUUGGUUAAUACCCAUCAGGAAAGACAUCACUCACAGAAGAAGCACCGGCUAACUCCGUGCCAGCAGCCGCGGUAAUACGGAGGGUGCGAGCGUUAAUCGGAAUUACUGGGCGUAAAGCGCGCGUAGGUGGCUUGAUAAGCCGGUUGUGAAAGCCCCGGGCUCAACCUGGGAACGGCAUCCGGAACUGUCAAGCUAGAGUGCAGGAGAGGAAGGUAGAAUUCCCGGUGUAGCGGUGAAAUGCGUAGAGAUCGGGAGGAAUACCAGUGGCGAAGGCGGCCUUCUGGACUGACACUGACACUGAGGUGCGAAAGCGUGGGUAGCAAACAGGAUUAGAUACCCGUGUAGUC